rnacentral:rRNA from 1 species
ACAGAGGGUGCGAGCGUUAAUCGGAAUUACUGGGCGUAAAGCGUGCGUAGACGGCUAUCUAAGUCGGGUGUGAAAGCCCCGGGCUCAACCUGGGAAUUGCAUUCGAGACUGAAUAGCUAGGGUGCGGUAGAGGGAAGCGGGAUUUCCGGUGUAGCGGUGAAAUGCGUAGAUAUCGGGAGGAACACCAGUGGCGAAGGCGACUACCUGGCCUGUUCUUGACGCUGAGGCGCGAAAGCUAGGGGAGCAAACGGGA